rnacentral:misc_RNA from 1 species
CUUUGAAUAUCUUUCGAUUAAAAUGUUUAUUUCCUCGGACAGUUUUGAGAAAAUCUCCUCCGAAAACCCGGGGAAAAUCUCCUCCGAAAAUCCGGAUAAAACGGAGAUAAAGAAGCAAAGAUUAGAACUACUGGAAAAGCUUCAGAAUUAUGAAUGUAUGUCUGAAGAGCAACGAAUACUUCAAUAUUUACUGAUUGAUAUACUAAACCUGAAACAUGGAUUGGAAGAUUUUCUUCAUCUUAUUGAAGAAAUCCAUCUGUUUGAACACUAUAACAUAGCAGAUAUAAAAACUUUGCUUGUAAACACUGCCAGACAUCAUAUAGCGUGUACAACCAAAAUGUAUAAACUGGGAUUGAAUUGGUUUAGUUUUGAUCCUGGUUUAGGGAUGAAAUUCAUUCUUCCAGGGCGUGAGGUGGAGGAGAGAGAGGAUGGCGAUGAUGCUUUGAUUGAGUUUGAAGAUAUUAAGGUUGCAGUGGAGGAUAUGGAUGAUCUUCCUGUAAAAGCCGUGCAGCAAAAUCAGUCAGAGUCUUCUAGGGUUAAAGAUGAAAAAGAACAUUUAAAAGAUGGCAAGGAAGAGGAGAAAUUGUUUGAAGAAUGCGAAGAGUGCGACUAUGUUAGUACCAGUAAACUCAACUUGAAACAUCAUGUAGAAUCUGAACACAAUAAGAAGGAAUUUUUAUGUAAAAAGUGUGACUAUGUUGGGACUUCAAAGUGGAAAUUAAAACUUCACAAUAGAAGCAAACAUAAAGAAAGUAAAUAUACCUGUGAUGAUUGUGAUUUCUCCUGCAGUGAUCUAUUUAAUUUUAAAAAGCAUCAAAGAAGAAAACAGUGUCUACAAGAACAAAAUUAUAAAGAUAAAGAUCCCGAUGAUUUACCAGAAGAGUAUCCCUGUUUUAAAUGCGACUUUAUUGCGUUUAAACUGAAUGAAUUGAAAAAGCACAAGCUAAGGGAACAUGAAGCUAAGUACUUUGAAUGUGACCUCUGUGAUUUCGUGGGAGCAGCCAAAAAUACUUUAAAGAAUCACAAGUUGAGUAUUCAUGAAGGAGUUGAGUAUCCAUGUGAUAAAUGUGAGUUUGUGUGCAAUGAUAAAGGAAAUUUAAAACGACACAUGCGAACAAUGCACAGUGGAUCAGAUGGGCCUCGUUUCCAAUGUGACUUGUGCGAAUUUAUUUUUAACGACAGUUCUAACUUGCAACGACACAAGAGAACCAUCCACGACGUGAACUAUCCCUGUGAUAUGUGUGGUAUAAUCUGUAGCACACAGUUCAGUUUGAAGAAACACAUGAAGGAUGAUCAUGGCCUGGAACCGGAUCGAAAAGACGAUAUGGAUACAGUUCUAAACUGUGAUCAAUGUACUUACUCAACGAAGAAGAAACAUCUACUCAAGAGUCACAAAGAAAACAUGCACGACGGAGAACGUUUUCCCUGUGACCUGUGUGAAUAUGUGGCAACACGAAAGAUAUAUUUGAAUACACACAAGCAGAGCAAACACGAGGGUGUUAGGUAUCCCUGUGAUCAAUGUGAAUAUCAGGCGAUGGAGAUUAUAACGCUGAGAAAGCACAAGGAACGAAUGCACAGUGAUAUCCGGUAUUUUUGUGAUCAGUGUGAAUACUCGUCUUCGGCAAUGCAAAAUUUGAAAUUACACGUUGGAAGCAAGCACGAAGAUGUGAAAUAUCCCUGUAACAAGUGUGAUUAUGUCGGGGCCCUAUCGCGACACUUAAAAAGUCACAUUCAGAAAGUUCACGAAAAGUCUAAGAGUUUUAUGUGUGAUCAGUGCGACUAUGUGACGCACAUUAAGGAUUCUUUAAAGAGACACAUUGAAGUAAAACAUGAGGGGGUUAAAUAUCCCUGCAAUCAAUGCGACAAUACAUUUACCACUCAUAGCAGUCUUGCAAGGCAUUUAAAAAGUAAACAUAGCAUUUGAUAAAGGCUUUACUUAAAUCUUUUUUAGAUUUUUAGAUUUCCAAUGAACAUAAAUUAAAAACAUUAAAAAAAAACUUAUUCAUUGUUUAUUAGUUUGAUCUCUGAUGUCGUGACUUUACAUCAUCUAGUGUUUCUUAAAUAACAUAACGUAGAAUAGGCUGUGAAUUUUUCAUUUCAAAUUAUUUUAAUUUACCUCAUUAUAGUACAAACAGUUUAAUCAGUGUUUUUUUAAAGGUUCUUAACAUUUUAAGUAUAAAUAGUAUAUUAAUUAAAGACGCCAAGCACUUCGGAACUUUUAAAGUCAAUGUCAUAUGUUAAUUUCACUUAAUUUAUGUGAAGUAAAAAAUUCAAAAGCUUUACAGUGCAACUAUGUCUUUGUCAAAGACUUUUGCCGAAAAGUGUUAAAAACAGUGUUUUUGUUUGUAACUAAACUUAAAAGUGUCUUUAAAUGGACCCUAACAAGCGCAACAAUCUAAACCGAAAAAUCAAUAACUUAAUUUUACUAGUGACAACAAACCUAAUAAUUUACACAACAGUUAAUCAAAAUUCAUUAAAUACAAGAAUGUAUUAUAUUGUUAUUUUUUGUCUUUUUUCAAAAAGUUUACUCUAAUGUUUACACUAUUUUUUAUCUAGCCUGGGAACCCAGUUUUGUCUGGAAAUUACACUUCCUCGUACUCACCCAGGUUUAACAAACAAAUAUACAUGCAGAAAUUACUGCUUUAUUAAUAUGGACGCCGUCCAAUUACUUUCUUCCUAAAAUUACAGAAUCAAAAUCUAUAAUAAAACAAGACAUUCAUAUAUGUUCCUUAUAGCCGACCAAACGGCUAGACCUAAUGGACUGACAUUUUUUGGGUUGUCGGCGGGUGUUAAAGACUAAAAAAAAUCGAUUUUUUAAAAAAUUAAAUUUUUUCCAUGGGUAAGCUGGGCCCUUCAGCUAGUAUAAAAUAUAAUCAUAAAUUGAAAAUCCGUUAAUGAGAUAUUAUUAUAUACACCAUUCACCUCUAAAUGUUUAAAACCUAUUCAAUUGUAAAAAAAAACCUGAAUUAGCUUAAAUUUGUCACUUGUAUUUAAAUUUACACAUAUUCUUAUUUCUUAAUAUUUCA